UCUUUAAGGCGGGGAUCACACUGACCAGAAGCAAGCGGCAGGUUUCCUAUUGUUCUCUAUGGUUCUGCAGCGGAACCAUGGCAACGCUAGCGUAACGCUAGCGUUAAACAAGCUGAGCGCUGAACUUGGUUCAACUUUCAAAGUGCAACGCGAGCGUAUUCAAUUGUCAAACCAUUUGGAUUG